AUGAACGCUGGCGGCGUGCCUCAUACAUGCAAGUCGAGCGAACAGACGAGGAGCUUGCUCCUCUGACGUUAGCGGCGGACGGGUGAGUAACACGUGGAUAACCUACCUAUAAGACUGGGAUAACUUCGGGAAACCGGAGCUAAUACCGGAUAAUAUAUUGAACCGCAUGGUUCAAUAGUGAAAGACGGUUUUGCUGUCACUUAUAGAUGGAUCCGCGCCGCAUUAGCUAGUUGGUAAGGUAACGGCUUACCAAGGCAACGAUGCGUAGCCGACCUGAGAGGGUGAUCGGCCACACUGGAACUGAGACACGGUCCAGACUCCUACGGGAGGCAGCAGUAGGGAAUCUUCCGCAAUGGGCGAAAGCCUGACGGAGCAACGCCGCGUGAGUGAUGAAGGUCUUCGGAUCGUAAAACUCUGUUAUUAGGGAAGAACAAAUGUGUAAGUAACUAUGCACGUCUUGACGGCACCUAAUCAGAAAGCCACGGCUAACUACGUG
rnacentral:rRNA from 1 species